AUCCCAGACAUUGGCAUGGAAGGAGAAUUAGUGAGCUAGGGAGAUGGUAUGAGAAAUAUUUCCUAGAUCUUAACGUUCAGAAAGAAAUGAAGAAAUAUGGCGGGAGUAAAAAAGACAAAUCCUAGAAGAUGAAGGUUGAAGACUGGAGUGCAUUCAACAAUGAGUCUUUUUCUUCCACCAUCUAAUAAACCUGCCUGUGAAACCUGAA